rnacentral:rRNA from 1 species
AGAGUUUGAUCCUGGCUCAGAAUCAACGCUGGCGGCGCGCCUAACACAUGCAAGUCGAACGAGAAAGUGGAGCAAUCCAUGAGUACAGUGGCGUACGGGUGAGUAACACGUGGGUAAUCUACCUCUUUGUGUGGAAUAACCCUGGGAAACCGGGGCUAAUACCGCAUAAGCUCGAGAGAGGAAAGCAGCAAUGCGCUGAGAGAGGAGCCCGCGGCCGAUUAGCUAGUUGGCAGGGUAAAAGCCUACCAAGGCAAAGAUCGGUAGCCGGCCUGAGAGGGCACACGGCCACACUGGCACUGAAACACGGGCCAGACUCCUACGGGAGGCAGCAGUGGGGAAUCUUGCACAAUGGGGGAAACCCUGAUGCAGCGACGCCGCGUGAGCGAUGAAGCCCUUCGGGGUGUAAAGCUCUUUCGGCAGGGAAGAUGAUGACGGUACCUGCAGAAGCAGCUGCGGCUAACUACGUGCCAGCAGCCGCGGUAAUACGUAGGCAGCAAGCGUUGUUCGGAGUUACUGGGCGUAAAGGGUGUGUAGGCGGUCUUCUAAGUUUGGUGUGAAAUCUCCCGGCUCAACUGGGAGGGUGCGCCGAAUACUGAAAGACUAGAGUGCGGGAGAGGAUAGUGGAAUUCCUGGUGUAGCGGUGAAAUGCGUAGAUAUCAGGAGGAACACCGGUGGUGUAGACGGCUAUCUGGACCGUAACUGACGCUGAGACACGAAAGCGUGGGUAGCAAACAGGAUUAGAUACCCUGGUAGUCCACGCCCUAAACGAUGCAUAUUUGGUGUGGGCAGUUCAGUCUGUCCGUGCCGGAGCUAACGCGUUAAAUAUGCCGCCUGGGGAGUACAGUCGCAAGGCUGAAACUCAAAGGAAUUGACGGGGGCCCGCACAAGCGGUGGAGCAUGUGGUUCAAUUCGACGCAACGCGAAGAACCUUACCUGGGCUCGAACGGCCGGUUACCGGCGGUGGAAACAUCGCUACCCCGCAAGGGGUCCCGGUCGAGUGCUGCA